GGAAAUUUUGUCCUUAAAUAAUUGCUGGAAGCUUCAAUGUCUACCAGCGCUUCCACUUCAUGUCAUUGUUUUUAGUGCUUCUAACUGCAGAUCAUUAAAAACUUUUGCAAGAAGGAUGAGAGGGAAGGAUAAAUUUAUUUCCUUCGAGGAUUGCAUGAAACUAGAUGCAACUUCACUCCGCUGUAUUUUGGAUGGCACCCA
rnacentral:lncRNA from 1 species